AAUGAACGCUGGCGGUAGGCCUAACACAUGCAAGUCGAACGGCAGCACAGGAGAGCUUGCUCUCUGGGUGGCGAGUGGCGGACGGGUGAGGAAUACAUCGGAAUCUACUCUGUCGUGGGGGAUAACGUAGGGAAACUUACGCUAAUACCGCAUACGACCUACGGGUGAAAGCAGGGGACCUUCGGGCCUUGCGCAAUUGAAUGAGCCGAUGUCGGAUUAGCUAGUUGGCGGGGUAAAGGCCCACCAAGGCGACGAUCCGUAGCUGGUCUGAGAGGAUGAUCGGGCACAGUGGAACUGAGACACGGUCCAGACUCCUACGGGAGGCAGCAGUGGGGAAUAUUGGACGAUGGGCGCAAGCCUGGUCCAGCCAUACCGCGUGGGUGAAGAAGGCCUUCGGGUUGUAAAGCCCUUUUGUUGGGAAAGAAAUCCAGCUGGCUAAUACCCGGUUGGGAUGACGGUACCCAAAGAAUAAGCACCGGCUAACUUCGUGCCAGCCGCCGCGGUAA
rnacentral:rRNA from 1 species